rnacentral:rRNA from 1 species
UACGAAGGGGCUAGCGUUGCUCGGAAUCACUGGGCGUAAAGGGUGCGUAGGCGGGUCUUUAAGUCAGGGGUGAAAUCCUGGAGCUCAACUCCAGAACUGCCUUUGAUACUGAAGAUCUUGAGUUCGGGAGAGGUGAGUGGAACUGCGAGUGUAGAGGUGAAAUUCGUAGAUAUUCGCAAGAACACCAGUGGCGAAGGCGGCUCACUGGCCCGAUACUGACGCUGAGGCACGAAAGCGUGGGG